rnacentral:rRNA from 1 species
CUGAGCUACCCUUGGAGUCGGGUUGUUUGUGAAUGCAGCCCAAAGUGGGUGGUAGACUCCAUCCAAGGCUAAAUACUUACACGAGUCCGAUAGCAAACAAGUACCGUGAGGGAAAGUUGAAAAGUACUUUGAAGAGAGAGUAAACAGUGCGUGAAACCGUUCAAAGGUAACGGGUGGAGUUGAACUGCAAGCUCUGGGAAUUCAGCUGAUGAGUGUGAUUUGUGCUUGGCAUACUGGCCGCCUUCAGUGUCUGUUUAACCGCAGGUGCCUGCUUUUUGGUGGGUAUGUGUGAUUCGUUUGUAUACGACGCACGCACUGUUGGUGUGAGGGUCUGCUU